rnacentral:lncRNA from 1 species
GACUCUUGCUAUGAAAGGAACUCAGAGCGAAGCCUUCUGUAAGGGGAAAAGCUGUUUCAGGAGAAGGCCCUCUCUGUGUUUUCA